rnacentral:rRNA from 1 species
UACGGGGGGAGCAAGCGUUGUUCGGAUUUACUGGGCGUAAAGGGCGCGUAGGCGGCCAGCGCAAGUCAGUUGUGAAAUCUCCGGGCUUAACCCGGAAAGGUCAGCCGAUACUGCGGGGCUAGAGUGCAGAAGGGGCAACUGGAAUUCUCGGUGUAGCGGUGAAAUGCGUAGAUAUCGAGAGGAACACCUGCGGCGAAGGCGGGUUGCUGGGCUGACACUGACGCUGAGGCGCGAAAGCUAGGGGAGCGAACGGG